GGAAAAGAAACCAACCGUGGCAUUGCCUUAGUAACGGCGAGUGAAGCGGCAAAAGCUCAAAUUUGAAAUCUGGUACCUUCGGUGCCCGAGUUGUAAUUUGGAGAGGGCAACUUUGGGGCCGUUCCUUGUCUAUGUUCCUUGGAACAGGACGUCAUAGAGGGUGAGAAUCCCGUGUGGCGAGGAGUGCGGUUCUUUGUAAAGUGCCUUCGAAGAGUCGAGUUGUUUGGGAAUGCAGCUCUAAGUGGGUGGUAAAUUCCAUCUAAAGCUAAAUAUUGGCGAGAGACCGAUAGCGAACAAGUACAGUGAUGGAAAGAUGAAAAGAACUUUGAAAAGAGAGUGAAAAAGUACGUGAAAUUGUUGAAAGGGAAGGGCAUUUGAUCAGACAUGGUGUUUUGUGCCCUCUGCUCCUUGUGGGUAGGGGAAUCUCGCAUUUCACUGGGCCAGCAUCAGUUUUGGUGGCAGGAUAAAUCCAUAGGAAUGUAGCUUGCCUCGGUAAGUAUUAUAGCCUGUGGGAAUACUGCCAGCUGGGACUGAGGACUGCGACGUAAGUCAAGGAUGCUGGCAUAAUGGUUAUAU
rnacentral:rRNA from 1 species